AUUACUGAUUUUGGGCACUCCAAGAUUUUGGGAGAGACCUCUCUCAUGAGAACUUUAUGUGGAACCCCCACCUGCUUGGCUCCUGAAGUUCUUGUUUCUGUUGGGACUGCUGGGUAUAACCGUGCUGUGGACUGCUGGAGUUUAGGAGUUAUUCUUUUUAUCUGCACAGGACUCAAGUGUCACUGAAGGACCAGAUCACCAGUGGAAAACACAACUUCAUUCCUAAAGUCUGGGCAGAAGUCUCAGAGAAAGCUCUGGACCUUGUCAAGAAGUUGUUGGUAGUGGAUCCAAAGGCAUGUUUUACAACAGAAGAAGCCUUAAGACACUGUGGCUUCAGGAUGAAGACAUGAAGAGAAAGUUUCAAGAUCUUCUGUGUGAGGAAAAUGAAUCCACAGCUCUACUCCAGGUUCUAGCCCAGGCACAAAGGUUGUCUUCCCGCAAAAGACCAAGACUUGGGCCUUCUACUAGUCGAAAGUGGCCUCAUGAAGGGGAAGCCGAGGGUGCCGAGACCACAAAGCGCCCGGCUGUGUGUGCUGCUGUGUUGUGAACUCCAUGGUUUGAACAUGAAAGAAAUGUACCUUCUUUCACUCUGUCAUCUUUCUUUUCUUUGAGUCUGUUUUUUAUAGUGUGUAUUUUAAUUAUGGAAAUAAUUGCUUUUUCACAGUCACUGAU
rnacentral:lncRNA from 1 species